UAUAUGAAAAGUUAUUAAAAGAUUGAUUAUGGAUGGAAGAUUAUGAUUGUUGUUUAUUGAGAGUUGUGUGUGUUUCGACAAAGAAAGUCUGUGAUUACAAAAAUUAUGUGAAUCCAAAUUGGUUGGAGUGAAGUUUGUUAUUUCUAGUGUUGGAUGGAAUUUAUGUAUUUUGAGUGGUCUUUUGAGAGUGUAGGAUUGCACAUUGUUGUUAUCCGUUGAUGAAGGAGUAUUAUGACUGGGAGAAAGCAUUGUAGUAUUUCUUGGUAUUUUAGUGGUUUGGAUUACAAUUAAUUGUGUGAUCCUGACGUGUAAGCUCAUGUGAUAGUCUUUCUUUGUAUUUAAAUUCCUCUCUACGGGUUUAUUUUGAAAGAAAUUUGUAGAAUAAGUAAAAUAAUAACCACAUUUUGGCACUGCUGUCAAAGAACGACAAUAAUAUUGAGUGAUAGGAAUUAACGGUCAAAUGAGUAAUUUUGGAUGUUGUGCAAAGAAAUUAUAAAAUUAAAAUUGAUUCGAAAUUGAAGAGAAUUGUGUAGUUAGAUAGAAGAUAGGAAGCAAAUUUGGGAGUAUAUAAUGAAAGAUUAUGAUUAUUAAGAAUAAAAACAUUGUAAUAAAGAAAAUACAUCAGCCGAAAGAAAGACAAGAGAGAGCACAAACAAGAAAAUUGUUACAAAACGAGCAAGAAGACAAGCUUAAAAAAAAGUGUGGAAAAAGUUGGAUUAAGCCAUGGUUGCAUGCUUGUUGACAUAUCCGAGCAUACUCAGAGACUGAUCGACCUCUAAUAUUUUAGACAUAUAUACCAUUAAAAAAAUUUCCUUGAGCACUCGCAAAAUUUUUUGUUAAUAGCCCAGCAUAUCUCUUGAGCUCAUUAACUGCAAGUAGAAGAAACACACAAGUAUUGGAUACUUCCUUUGAUACCUUCCCAAUAGCGAAAACUACCAAUUCUAUUAAUAUUGGUCCUAUAGAAUGCCAUAAACUGCUUGUCAAUAAAGGCCAAUUCAGCUUAUUUCAAAAUUCAUCAUUUUUACCUUCAAUUCAACCAAUAAACUUAUUUAGAGAUAAUAAUAGUAAAUUGGGGAGGUUGAAAAGUUUGAAAAAGAUAAUUGGGGAAGAUAGUGGUAAUUUUAAUAAGAGAUUAAGUGACACAUUGUCAUCUUCAAUGAUGACAAGUGGUCCAACAGUUCCAAUAGCAAUUCAAAUAGGUGAUAUGGACGAUCGUAUAACUAGCAUGGUUCCAUUACCUACUUUUAGGGGCUUACCAAGUAUAGAUCCAGAUCAAUACUUGUCUUAGUUCCUGACUAUAUGUGUAGCUAAUAAUGGUAGAACUGAAGAUAUUUGAUUGCAAUGGUUAUUAGUGACCUCAAAAGAUACGACAUUUGAAUGAUAUAAUUGUCAAAUUGUAGGUCAAUUUUCUAAUUGGGAAGCAUUAAAGAAUGCAUUUUUAAUCCAUUUUUGCCCAAUUGGUUUUGAGAAUCGACUUUGAGAAAGAUUAAUGAAUAGCAAAAUGAAUCCAAGAAAGAUAGUGGAAUCAUAUUAUGGCUGUGUGGCAGAUAUACUCCGCAAGUGGCUAAAUCAUCAAAUAUUGGAGGCUUUUAUAUUAUCCAUAUUAAUCAACGGAUUGCACUCACUUGAACUAAAAAUAUUUAUAAAAGAUUCUGAAUCAAAUACAAUAAUUGCAUCUCUUAAUCGAGCCAUGAUUUGGGAGGAAUACGAUUAUGAUCAAUUUUUAACUAUGGGAGCUACUAUGAUUCCAGUUCAAGGAAGUUAUCAAAUCCUGGCAUGGAAUAGAGCAAAAGAUUAGUUUUUCAAAAAUAUUUGAUAUAGGGGCCAAUUCAGGUGCUAAUUCACAAGGAAUAGUUAAUGUCACCCCAUUGCAAGCUAUACCACCAAACAUGGCAACAUCGCAAUUUCUAUACUUCUCUUAUUAGGAGCAACCAUUGACUACGAUAGAGUUGCCAAUAGUAUCAGCUCGGAAGGAUUCUAAUGAAACCUUGUUGUUAAAUUUGACUAAAAAAAAUAGAGGAAGUGGCAGUGAAUUUGGCAAGUAUUAAAAAAAGAGGCAAAAACCUACUAAUACUAGGUCUAAUGUAUACUGCAGUAGUUGUAAGGGCCAAGGUCAUUUAGUGACAAAAUGCCCCUCUCUUCCACAAAUGAUGGUGCAAUAUACAUUAUGUGGAAGAAAGCAUUUGGCAACCAAUUGUUGGAAUUCAAAAAAGCAACAACAAUUUGGUAAUUAAACCAUGAUUCCACCCACGUAGUAGGAUGUCAAUCAAGUUCAAAUGAAAAAUACAUUUGGCUAGAAUGGAACUUGUUCAAAUAGGUAAAAUCGAGCCUUUAAUAACUUUCAAGGUCUAAAAUAUAAUCCGAGUUCUACAUUGAACUUCCAUAAUUAUGUGAAGGAAUAGCUAAGAUAUCAGUUAUAUUUUCCAUCACCGUAAUUGAUUCUAAUUUUCUCCUUACUAAUAAGACAACCAAAAUCAUUUACUAAUUCAACUUGGAACAGACCUAGUCAUUAUAUAUUGGUGGAGUCAUCCAAUAUGCCUAAUGGAGGUAGAAGAAGACCACUUUAUUGUUACCGUUUCAGGCACAUUGAUCAUUACAUUAGUGAAUGUUCUAAUCCAAGAGCCAGUGAUGACUAUGCUCCAGUUUGUAGAAAUUGUAAGUAGUCGGGGCAUACAUAUUAGCAGUAUAAUGCUCCAUUCAAUUUCAACAACUGUGAUCAGCAGAUCCAGCUACAAAAUAAGAUCGAAGAUAAUAAUCAAGGUCUCUAAGAUUCCUUGAUAAAUUGGAUGGAAUGUGUUCAAGCAGUACUUACUAAGAGCUAGAAAAAGGAUAAAAAAUCAAUUCAACACUUGGGUGAACUAAUUGUGAAGGACCAAUUCAAUCUAUUUAUGGGGAUGUCAAAUCUAGUUCCUAUAAUGGGUAUCUUACCGAUGAUGAGACUUGGUCUAUCUAUGUAAAUCAAUGAAAUCCUAACCAUCAAGGUCUCGCCUCAGUCUAAACCAGUUCCAUCCUUUGUGCAGUUCUAGGAGACGUCUUAUCCAUUAAAAGAUCUUCUUAUGAACAGACAUUCCACGAAAAGCUCUUUAAAUUGUUUCAAUUUCGAGUCCAAGAAAGAAAAUUAUAUUACCUCAAUGGUGUAAGCUGAAAUAAAUGAAAAGAAAGCGGGCAUUGGAAAUUUCUUUAAAUAUGGAGCCUUAUGACAUUUUGAAAGAUCUGGAUGCUAUUCAGCCUUUUAUUUCAAUGAAGCAACUUCUAGCAGUAGUACCGGAGUGUCAUUCUAUGUUGAAUUCAUCGUUAAUAUGGCAUAGGCAAUGUAACAAAGUUUAUGAGGUCAUUUUGAACCUUGACCCAAGCGUGCCAACUAUCGAUGUAUUGAUAGAUGGCAUUAUGAUUUUUAGAGUCCAAGUAGAUGGUGGCUCUAGCAUCAAUUUAAUGAACGCAGAUACAAUGGAUACUUUGAACUUAGCACAUUUGGUAUCCACGACAUUGGUAUUAUGGAUGGUAGAUCAUAACCAAGUUAAAUCCAUGGAUAUAUUACAAAAUAUUCAAACUAUAAUUACUAGUAUUGAAUACAAAAUAGACUAUAUUGCUUUUUGGUUACAAUGUUCAACUUUACCAUAUCUAAUUUUAUUUGGACAAUCCUGGCUUUAUCAAGCAAACUCGAUGCAUCGGAUUAGUACACUAGAAUUAUAAUUGAGUACCUUCAGUAUGUCAGACUCGGCAAAUGGAUCAGAACCAGCGAGAAAGUUGAAACAGGAAAAGGAAUUUGAGCCUUUAUGUCAAAUUAUUAACUUGACAACAAAUAAAAUGCCUUGGACAAUUAAAAUUUACAAAGGUAUUCAAGAUCAAGAGUUGACAUGUUGGAAUGAAUUUUUCAUUCACCAUAAAUCCGCUUUUGCUUGGACUUAUGUUGAUUUGAAAGAUAUUUUCAUAGAAGUCUGCGAGCAUUGGAUCAUUUUGGAGGAGAAUGCUAAAUCUGUUUGUCAAAGAUAACACCAACUUAAUCCAAAAUAUUUCCUAAUAGUGAACGAAGAAUUAGACAAGCUUAUUGUCAUUGGUUUUAUUUAUCCGAUACCAAAUAGUGAGUGGAUUUCUCUAAUCAUGAUGGUGCCAAAGAAGAAUGGCAAAAUCAGAAUUUGCCACGACUUCUGAAAAUUAAAUGCGGCUACUAAGAAUGAUUACUUUCUAUUAUCUUUUAUGGAUAUUAUAUUCGAUGCUAUUGUAGGGCAUGAAUGUUAUUUUUUUCUAGAUGGAUUUUUUUAGUUAUAAUAAAAUUAAAAUUACAAAGGAAGAUCAGUUAAAGACUACUUUCACUAUGGACUGGAAAAUAUUUGUUUAUAGCGUUAUGCUAUUUAUUUUAUGUAAUGUUUCAGCCACGUUUCAAUGGAUGAUGACUCAGGCAUUUCAAGAUUAUUUAUGAAUAUUUACAGAGAUUUUUUUAGAUGACUUUUGUACUUUCAGUCCAAAACAUGAUCAUUUGAAAUGCCUAGGCAAAUGUUUAGAUUAAUGUAUUACAUAUGGGAUAUCAUUGAAUUUUGAUAAAUGCAAAUUUGGUAUUCCACCUGAAAAACUCCUGGAAGUCAUAGUUUCCAGAUGCAAUAUUGCCACUGAUUUAGAUAAAGUUCAACACAUAAUAAACUUACCAAGACUAGAGACAAUAUCGAGUGUUCACGAUUUUGUCUGCCAUGUCAAUUAUUAUCGAUGAUUUAUUCAUUCAUUUGUAAUCCUCUGUCAACCUUUGACUAAUCUUUUAAAGAAAUCUCUAUCAGAUGGGAUCAAUCCAAUUUGGAGCAAGAAGUGUAUAGUGGCAUUUGAAGAAUUGAAGCGAAAAUUGGUAUCUGCCCUAGUAUUACUAGCCUUUUGUUGGACAAAGCCAUUUCAUGUGUAUGUUGAUGCAUCUAAUGUUGCUAUUGGAUUUGUGUUAAGUUAGAAAGAUGAAAAAAAAAUGGAUCAUCUGAUAUAUUAUGCUAGUCGAUAAUUGGUGGCUGUCGAACAAAAUUACACUACUAUUAAAUGGAAAGCUUUGGACAUGAUAUAUUUGGUUCAAAAAUUUCGGCAUUAUUUGUUGGAUUAUCUAUUUGUAUUUUAUGUGGAUCAUGAUUUUUUAAAAUACAUGAUUAAUAAGCCUUAGUUGAUUGGACGUAUUACUAGAUAGAUAUUACUAUUAUAGGAAUUCAAUUUUACUAUUAUUGUAAGAUUUAAGAAGAACUAUGUGAAUGUUGACCAUUUAUCCUGGUUGUUCAAUAUCCUGGGUAAUAAAUAUGUUCCUGAUGUACUUUUCGACUCUGAUUUAUUUGUUGUGGAUGUGAUUUCACUGGAGUGUAGUGAAAUAAUUUAGUUUUUGACAUUCCAAACAUUUCUACCUGCAUUAAGCGAGAAGCUUAAGAAAUACUUAAUUUUGAAAAGUGCACCAUAUAUAAUGAUUGGUGAUGUUUUGUAUAAGCAAGGAAAGGAUGGCAUUUUACAAUGUUAUAUCUUUCAAAGUGAAAUACAGUCGAUAUUGGAUAAUUACCAUUUAGAUAAUUACGGUGGAUAUUUUGCCAAUGAUAGUACUGCUCAUAAAGCUUUAAUGGCCGGAUAUUGGUGGCCAACAAUGUUUUUAGAUGUACACCAAUAUGUUUGUCAUUAUGAUCUAUGUCAAAGAAUUGAUCAACCAACUAGCACUUCUGCCAUGCCAUUAUUAUUAAUUUUGGCCUAAGUACUAUUUGAAAAAUGAGGAAUUGAUUUUGUUGGACCAAUGCCACUAACAUCGCAACAUGGACAAAAGUGGUAUAUUUUAGUCGCCAUGAACUAUAUAAUCAAAUGGAAAGAGGCUGUUGCAACACAACAUGAUAAUGCAAAUACUGUCACCACUUUUCUAUAUAAGAAUAUUAUCACUUGAUUUGGAUAUCCUAAAGAAUUGAUUAGUGAUUGAGGAACCUAUUUUAUUAAUUCUACAAUUACAGCUUUGACAGAUAUGUACAAGAUCAAGUAUAGGAAAACAACUCCAUAUCAUCCUAGAGCCAAUGGACAAAAAAAAAAGACUAACGGUAUUUGUAGAAUAGAUAUUAGUUUGUUUCUGUAAGAUAUUGGUAAAAUAGACUAAUAGUCCAUAGAAUAGUCAGUUCAGGAGGACGGAUGAUUGAUUUAGUUAUUAAAAGCAGUUAAUUACAUGAUUAUGAUUAAAAUGUGGAAAUUAAGAGUAAUUAUAUAGGAAUUGUAGAAGUUUGUUGGAGUGCCAAACUGUGAUAGUCAUGAGCCGAAGUAAGCUUGGUACUACUUCUUUAUCUCUUUGUUUGUUUGUUUUCUUUGUUAUUGAAGAAUAAUGGAUAGUUUCUGAAUACUGAGAAGUGAAUUUGUAGAAUAAAUCAGAGAUUGAUUUAUGAGUUAUUGAUUAUGUAAUUGGAGUACUGAGUGAUUGAAUUAUAUGAGGAGUUAUUGAAAAAUUAUGAUUGUUGUUUAUUGAGAGCUAUGUGUGUUUUGAAAAAAAGAAGUCUGUAAUUACAGAAAUUAUGUGAAUUCAAAUUGUUGGAGUGAAGUCUAUUAUUCCUAGUGUUGGAUGGAAAUUAUUGUGUUUUGAGUAGUAUUUUGAGAGUGCAGAGUUGCACAUUGUUGUUAUCACUUGAUGAAGGAGUAUUGUUAAUAGGAAAGAGCAUCGUAGUAUUUUUUAGUAUUUUAGUGGUUCGGAAUAUGGUUAAUUGUGUGACCCUAACAAGUAAAACUCAUGUACUUAGUCUUUCCCUGUGUUCGAAUUCUCCUAUACAGGUUUAUUCUGAAAAGAAUUGUAGAAUAAGUAAAACGACAAUCAUAGUAUUUUAUGCAAGAUAUUAACGAAGACUAUUUCAAGGGCGAGCAUAGAUUGGGAUACCAAAUUAUUUGCAAUCUUAUGGCCAUAUCGUACAAUGUCUAAAGUGACAACUAAUUCCACCCCAUUCAAAUUGGUUUACGGGCAAGAAAUGCUCUUACCUAUCGAAUUGGAAGUUCAGAGUUUACGGAUUGCAAUAGAUGAACGACUUAGUGAUAAAGAGUGUGUACACUAUCGGUUGGUUAAAUUAAAAGAAUUAGAUGAAAUUUGGGCUAUUGCUCUUUUAACAAUGGAAGCUAUCCAGAAAUGAUGCAAGAGUUACUAUGAUAGUAAACUGCAACCUAAGAAUUUUAUACCCAAUGAUUUGGUCUUACUUUAUGAUAGUUAUUUUAAUACUUUUCUAGAAAAAUUUCAAAUCCAAUGGCAUGGUCUGUAUCAAAUAGUUGAAGGAUUUUUCAACAGAUUAGUCUAAUUGGAAGAUUUUAUGGGCUAUCAAUUGAAUACAUGUAUUAAUAGGAACUGAUUACAGCUAUAUUAUAUUUAAAACUUGUGACGAGUUUCAAUUUUUUUCUUCGAGUUAUACUUAUUGAUAUAGGUGGACUAGGAUAUAGAGGCAGCUAAAAGGAUAGUUAGAGAUAUAAUUAGUCAUAGAUCAAAUGGGAUGGCAGAAGAAACGGACAAUAUGGAUAACAUGUUGUCGUUAUCACCACUAGAUAAAAGAAUAAGAGUGAGGCAUCUAUUCAAGGUGAUUCUAUGGUAUCACAUUCUGUUGUUGUUUUUUUGUAUUAUAAUUUCUUGUGUUUCGAGAGUACUGGAGAGUAGUAUUGACAGUUAAAGCUUAGAAAGAGUGCAAAGAGAGCUAUAGAUAGAGAUGAAAGUGGCCAAAAUGUGAAAGCUAAAUGUAAUUUGGGACCACCAUUCGUAGUAAUUGUUACUAAUAUAGAGCCUAUGAAAUUAGAGAUUUGUUGGAUGCCAAGAAGAAUAUAGGAUUUUUGAAAUGCACAAAUGUUUCAAUUUUUACAAAAGUCAUAUAGCUUACCAUCAAUUAAUGUGGCAUUAGUGGAAGAAUAUAUUAUAAACUAUGAUCCAAAGGAUGGAUCGAGCGUAGUAGAAGGGUACAUUAUCGGUAUGGAUGAAAAGAUCAUAGAAAAGUUGUUGUAUCUUUGAAUUAGAGAGCUUGCGGUAGGAACGAUGGAUUCUAGCGAUUUCAACCCAAGAGAAUUUUUUAAAGGUGGAAUAUCAUCGUUUGAGAAGAACGAAGGUUGACAGACAAUUCAGGCAAUUACACUAGAGCUCAUGGAAUGGAUGCGCUACAUAUUGAGGCAUUUAUGGUUGUAUCAACACAACAUAUAUAUGUCAAGACGGUUAAUAUUUGCAGCAAUAGGGACGCUUGAUGGGAUGGUAUUCAACUGGACAGCUUAUGUAGCAACUUGUAUUCAUACAAAAAUAGGAGCUAAACAAAAAAUAUGGAAGUUUAUAGUGUUGCUCUAUUCUAACUAUGUGUAUGCUAUGAUUAUAUUUACAUUGAAUCAAGCAAUACCAAUAGUGGAGAGAAACGUAUCCUUCCCAAUGCUUCAACAAGGUGAACAAAAUUUAUUGGCAUUGAUUGCCAAUUCAAGGGAUAUAGUACAUGAAAUUAGGAAAUACAAUCAUACAUUGGUAUAAGAGGUAGUUCUAGAAGUUGUACCAGAACCAACUCCGAUUAGUUUGGUGGUGGAAGAGGAGAAUGAAGUCCCAAUUUUGUUAGAUAUCAAUCAAUUGGCAUUUCCACAUGGUCAACUACUAGAAGGCGUACAUCUUAAGAAUGCUUUAUUGAAGUAUAUUUUGCAAAUACAUUGCAUGGUAUGAGCAUUGGAUGAAGAAGGCAGUGUUAAAGAAGAAUUGGAGGCAAACAAAAAAGUAAUAUUGGAGCAGAAUUGAAGAAUUGCAGAGAAAGAAGAAAUCAUCCAAGCUUGAAUGAAAGAAAAAGAACACAUCUUAAAGAUCAUGGAAGGUCAAUGGGACAAAUUGCUUCAGAAUUAUAGGAUAUGGAAUUUGGAACAGGAAAAAGUCAGGUGCCAAUUACAAGUGGAAUGGAAAAAGGUAGAGUUCUUGGCGCAAGAGAAAGUGGUAUUGAGUGACUAAUACAGAUGUGAAAUAUAGCAGUUGAGGACUGAAAUUGAAGCAUUGAACAUUGAAGUGUUAAAAUUGGUAAAUAAUAUUGUCAAUAUUAGUUAGUCACAAGUAUCGAUGAUGCCAGUUUCCAAAGUUUUAGACUAGAUGAUUCAGCAUCAACACUAAUUUGAAUUGAGGGAUGCCCAAAUCUUCAAAUUGGAGGCUCAAGUCCAUGAAUUGGGCAAGUACAAUAAAGACCUUUCAGCCCAAUUGAGGAAGGAGCCGACGAAAGGAUUGGACAAGGAUAAAAGUUUACAUUUAGAACCAGAAUUGGUGGAACCAACAACAUAUAAUGCGGUAGUUGAUCAACUGGGUAGACCGAAGGGAUAGCAAUUUGAUAGAGUUUUGUUUAGUUUUUUUUAGAUAUAUAUCAAUUCUGUGUUUGCAAGGAUGCUGUAUAGUUAAGAGUGGAGCUAUAUAGAAGAGGUAGAAAUUUAUUUUUGUAAGAUAUUGAUAAAGUAGAUUAAUCAUUCCUAGGAUAGGUAAUUCAAUAGGAUGGAUAAUUGAAUUAAUUAUGAAAAAUGAUUAAAUAGGGAAUGACAGUUAGAAUUUGAAAUUUUAAAAGUAAAGCAUAAGUAAGUUGAAGAAGAUAUUGUAAAGACCAAAUUAUAAUAGUCAUGAGUCGAGGUAAGCUUGGUGCUACCUCUUUAUUUUUUUAUUGUUGAAGAGUAGUGGAUAGUUUCUAAUACUGUGAAGUGAAUCUGUGGAAUAAAUCAAAGAUUGAUUUAUGACUUAUUGAUUAUGUAAUUGGAGUAUUGUGAUUGAAUUAUAUGAGAAGUUAUUGGAAGAUUGAUUAUGGAUAGAAGAUUAUGAUUGUUGUUUAUUGAGAGUUGUGUGUGUUUUAACAGAGGAAGUCUGUGAUUACAAAAAUUAUGUGAAUCCAAAUUGGUUGGAGUGAAGUUUAUUAUUUUUGGUGUUGGAUAGAAUUUAUGUCUUUUGAGUGGUCUUUUGAAAGUGCAAAGUUGCACAUUGUUGUUAUCAAUUGAUAAAGAAGUAUUAUUACUGGGAGAAAGCAUUGUAGUAUUUCUUGAUAUUUUAGUCGUUUGGAUUGUAGUUAAUUAUGUGACCCUAAUAUGUAAGUUCAUGCAAUAGUCUUUCCUUGUGUUUAAAUCCCCUUCUAUGGGUUUAUUUUGAAAGGAAUUUGUAGAAU
rnacentral:lncRNA from 1 species